UCCGUAGGUGAACCUGCGGAAGGAUCAUUACCUAGAGUUGUAGGCUUUGCCUACCAUCUCUUACCCAUGUCUUUUGAGUACCUUCGUUUCCUCGGCGGGUCCGCCCGCCGAUUGGACAAACUUAAACCCUUUGUAAUUGAAAUCAGCGUCUGAAAAAACAUAAUAGUUACAACUUUCAACAACGGAUCUCUUGGUUCUGGCAUCGAUGAAGAACGCAGCGAAAUGCGAUAAGUAGUGUGAAUUGCAGAAUUCAGUGAAUCAUCGAAUCUUUGAACGCACAUUGCGCCCCUUGGUAUUCCAUGGGGCAUGCCUGUUCGAGCGUCAUUUGUACCUUCAAGCUCUGCUUGGCGUUGGGUGUUUGUCUCGCCUUUGCGUGUAGACUCGCCUUAAAACAAUUGGCAGCCGGCGUAUUGAUUUCGGAGCGCAGUACAUCUCGCGCUUUGCACUCAUAACGACGACGUCCAAAAAGUACUUUUUACACUCUUGACCUCGGAUCAGGUAGGGAUACCCGCUGAACUUAAGCAUAUCAAUAAGCGGAGGA
rnacentral:rRNA from 1 species